AGUGAACGCUGGCGGUAGGCCUAACACAUGCAAGUCGAACGGCAGCACAGUAAGAGCUUGCUCUUACGGGUGGCGAGUGGCGGACGGGUGAGGAAUACAUCGGAAUCUACUUUUUCGUGGGGGAUAACGUAGGGAAACUUACGCUAAUACCGCAUACGACCUACGGGUGAAAGCAGGGGAUCUUCGGACCUUGCGCGAUUGAAUGAGCCGAUGUCGGAUUAGCUAGUUGGCGGGGUAAAGGCCCACCAAGGCGACGAUCCGUAGCUGGUCUGAGAGGAUGACCACCCCAACGGGAAUGGGGACACGGCCCAGCCUCCACGGGGAGGAGGAGGUGGGAAAUAUGGACAAAUGGGGGAAGGCCUGAUCCAGCCAUACCGGGUGGGGAAAGAGGCCUUUGGGGUUGAAAAGCCUUUUGGUUGGAAAAGAAAAGCAGCAGGUAAAUCCCCCGCUUUUCGGAGGGUACCAAAAGAAAAAGCACCGGCUAACUU
rnacentral:rRNA from 1 species